GGCCUCUCUUGCUUGCUUCUAGCC
rnacentral:siRNA from 1 species